rnacentral:snoRNA from 1 species
GGUCAGUGAUGAGAAGUAAAAGGUCUGAUUUUCCCAUAAUCCCCUCCUGCGACCCUCUGGCUCCAAGCAGCCCCUGCUCUCUGCUCCCAUCAUGCUCUAGUGGUUCAGUGGUGGUCCCAGGAGCUGCUGACACAGACAGGAUGUGACAUCACAGAGUCUGUACAGAGAAACUACAGGCUCAGUGAUGAUGACUGACAUCCAACAGAACCAAUCAGCACGGAGCAUCAGGCGGAGGAGGAGGAGGGAGCUGAUCACAAGUUUUCAACCUGAGACC